rnacentral:lncRNA from 9 species
GGAGUUCCCAUGGUGGCUCAGCGGUAAUGAAUCCAACAGCUCAUGGAUCCAUGAGGAUGCGUGUUCUAUCCUUGGUCUCACUGAGUGGGUGAAGGAUCCGGCCUUGUGGUGAGCUGUGGGGUAGGUGGCAGAUGUGGCUCGGUUCCCAUGUUGCUGUGGCUGUGAUGUAGGCUGGCAGCUGUAGCUCCGAUUGGACCCCUAGCCUGGGAACCUCCAUAUGCUGAGAACGCGGCCCUAAAAAGAAAAAACAAAAAGAACAAGAGAUUUUACUGAAGAGAAGCAUCUCUCAUUGAAAAGUUGACACAAACCUGGUUUGCUGAUGGUCCUGUUUCUGACCUCUAAUGUGUCAGCUGAAGCCAGACCUUCUCAGGUGAGAAGAUGAUGGGUCCCUGAGACAAUGAAGGCAGUUGAAGCAGGGGAGGGAUUGAGCGAUGUCCUCAAACAUGUUUGGACAACACUGGGUUAAACAAAAUUUCUUUACUACAGAACUUAUCAGAGCCUUUGGUGCAUAAAUGUAGACUGUUAAUCUUCAAAAGGGGCCACAUAAGUGGUCCACAUAAGUGAUUUUUCAAGGAAGAUCGGACUGGUCACACAUUGACUCCUCCUGGCUGAUUCAACUCUCAUCUGGAGGCUGGAAGUGCAAAGGCCCUGGGAGUCUCCAGCCUCAUUUCCCGGAGUUGGAGGGAAGCAGCUCUGACCCCAUCACAGCCAGGGGACGUGGGGUCCCCACCCCCAGUCUCACUUACUGCACAGAUAAUGACAGGUCUCCCUGAAGGGUUUAUUUCCAAGAUCGAAAUGAAAUAAUGAAUAUAAAACCUUUGGCCUAGGCCGUAGCACACAACUGAUAAACAAACAAUACCUGCUCUUAUUUUAAUUCUUUUAAAUAAUCAUUUAAAGGGCCCAAAAGGAAUUUACCUUUGCAACAACUUUUGUGUUUCCAAAUCAAUGGUUUAGCAAUGACCUCUAAGGCCCCUUUGACUGUUGACAGUCAAUAAAGCGCCAAUAAGCCCCACCCUUGGGCUCGCCC